AGGUUCGAUUCUGGCUCAGAACGAACGCUGGCGGCAGGCCUAACACAUGCAAGUCGAGCGCGCCCUUCGGGGUGAGCGGCGGACGGGUUAGUAACGCGUGGGAACGUACCCUUUGGUAGGGAAUAGCCACUGGAAACGGUGAGUAAUACCCUAUGAGCCCUUCGGGGGAAAGAUUUAUCGCCAAAGGAUCGGCCCGCGUUAGAUUAGGUAGUUGGUGGGGUAAUGGCCUACCAAGCCUACGAUCUAUAGCUGGUUUUAGAGGAUGAUCAGCAACACUGGGACUGAGACACGGCCCAGACUCCUACGGGAGGCAGCAGUGGGGAAUCUUGGACAAUGGGGGCAACCCUGAAUCCAGCCAUGCCGCGUGAGUGAAGAAGGCCUUAGGGUCGUAAAGCUCUUUCGCCUGUGAAGAUAAUGACGGUAGCAGGUAAAGAAACCCCGGCUAACUCCGUGCCAGCAGCGGC
rnacentral:rRNA from 1 species